CCUACGGGAGGCAGCAGUGAGGAAUAUUGGUCAAUGGGCGCAAGCCUGAACCAGCCAAGUAGCGUGAGGGAUGACGGUCCUAUGGAUUGUAAACCUCUUUUGUCGGGGAGCAAGGCCCGCCACGUGUGGCGGGAAGGAGAGUACCCGAAGAAAAAGCAUCGGCAACCUCCGUGCCAGCAGCCGCGGUAUAACGGAGGUUGCGAGGGUUAUCCGGAUUUAUUGGGUUUAAAGGGUGCGUAGGCGGAAGGUUAGUGCAGCGGGCAAAUGUCGGGGCUCAACACCGGCCUGCCGUUGAAACUGGUCUUCUUGAGUGAGCGAGAAGUAUGCGGAAUGCGUGGUGUAGCGGUGAAAUGCAUAGAUAUCACGCAGAACUCCGAUUGCGAAGGCAGCAUGCCGGCGCUCUACUGACGCUGAGGCACGAAAGCGUGGGGAUCGAACAGGAUUAGAUACCCUAGUAGUC
rnacentral:rRNA from 1 species